rnacentral:rRNA from 1 species
GGAAUCUUGCGCAAUGGGGGAAACCCUGACGCAGCCAUGCCGCGUGAAUGAUGAAGGUCUUAGGAUUGUAAAAUUCUUUCACCGGGGAAGAUAAUGACGGUACCCGGAGAAGAAGCUCCGGCUAACUUCGUGCCAGCAGCCGCGGUAAUACGAAGGGGGCUAGCGUUGCUCGGAAUUACUGGGCGUAAAGGGAGCGUAGGCGGACAGUUAAGUCAGAGGUGAAAGCCCAGGGCUCAACCCUGGAAUUGCCUUUGAAACUGGCUGUCUUGAGUUUGGGAGAGGUGUGUGGAACUCCGAGUGUAGAGGUGAAAUUCGUAGAUAUUCGGAAGAACACCAGUGGCGAAGGCGACACACUGGCCCAAUACUGACGCUGAGGCUCGAAAGCGUGGGGAGCAAAC